AACUUAUCCAGAGUGACUGAGGGAUCAGGCCCAAUGAAGUCCGGCAACCGCCAUGCAAAUGGAAAGGUGCUACUUCCUGCAGAAUGUAAUGAUUCUGAAAGAUAAGCC
rnacentral:ncRNA from 1 species